rnacentral:rRNA from 1 species
AUUGAACGCUGGCGGCAUGCCUUACACAUGCAAGUCGAACGGCAGCACGGACUUCGGUCUGGUGGCGAGUGGCGAACGGGUGAGUAAAGUAUCGGAACGUACCUUUCAGUGGGGGAUAACGUAGCGAAAGUUACGCUAAUACCGCAUAUUCUGUGCGCAGGAAAGCAGGGGAUCGCAAGACCUUGCGCUGAUUGAGCGGCCGAUAUCAGAUUAGCUAGUUGGUGGGGUAAAGGCCUACCAAGGCGACGAUCUGUAGCGGGUCUGAGAGGAUGAUCCGCCACACUGGAACUGAGACACGGUCCAGACUCCUACGGGAGGCAGCAGUGGGGAAUUUUGGACAAUGGGCGCAAGCCUGAUCCAGCCAUGCCGCGUGAGUGAAGAAGGCCU